rnacentral:tmRNA from 1 species
GGGGGUGACACGGGUUCGACGUGGGAAUUGUGACUUUUGGCUGCAUGUUCCGGAUUGUCGUUGGCCGGAUUAACAAUCGACAAAAACGUAAUCGCAAACGAAAACGAUUACUCUCCAGUCGCUUUAGCAGCUUAGUCUGCUUUAGCGCGCGGUGUUGGGGGUUGCUCGUGCUUUUAACAUCGCUUAUUUUGCGAGCUAGGAUAGGGAUGACGCCUUUGCAUUUUCGUCCGAAACAAUACACAGGCUGGUCUGAACGAAUCUUGUUUGAGAGCGUAGUUCAGAUGAGAUUUAACCUCAAAAUAAACAUGUAGACGCUUCUAGAAUCAGUCCCGCGGACGGGGGUUCGACUCCCCCCACCUCCACUU